GAUGAACGCUGGCGGCGUGCCUAAUACAUGCAAGUCGAGCGAACAGACGAGGAGCUUGCUCCUCUGACGUUAGCGGCGGACGGGUGAGUAACACGUGGAUAACCUACCUAUAAGACUGGGAUAACUUCGGGAAACCGGAGCUAAUACCGGAUAAUAUAUUGAACCGCAUGGUUCAAUAGUGAAAGACGGUUUUGCUGUCACUUAUAGAUGGAUCCGCGCCGCAUUAGCUAGUUGGUAAGGUAACGGCUUACCAAGGCAACGAUGCGUAGCCGACCUGAGGGUGAUCGGCCACACUGGAACUGAGACACGGUCCAGACUCCUACGGGAGGCAGCAGUAGGGAAUCUUCCGCAAUGGGCGAAAGCCUGACGGAGCAACGCCGCGUGAGUGAUGAAGGUCUUCGGAUCGUAAAACUCUGUUAUUAGGGAAGAACAAAUGUGUAAGUAACUAUGCACGUCUUGACGGUACCUAAUCAGAAAGCCACGGCUAACUACGUG
rnacentral:rRNA from 1 species